rnacentral:rRNA from 1 species
AGAGUUUGAUCCUGGCUCAGGACGAACGCUGGCGGCGUGCUUAACACAUGCAAGUCGAACGAUGAUGCGGCGCUUGCGCCGUUGAUUAGUGGCGAACGGGUGAGUAACACGUGAGUAACCUGCCCCCUUCUUCGGGAUAACGGUCUGAAAGGGCUGCUAAUACCGGGUAUUCACUGGUCCUCGCAUGGGGUCUGGUGGAAAGGGUUUUUUUCUGGUGGGGGAUGGGCUCGCGGCCUAUCAGCUUGUUGGUGGGGUGAUGGCCCACCAAGGCUUUGACGGGUAGCCGGCCUGAGAGGGUGACCGGUCACAUUGGGACUGAGAUACGGCCCAGACUCCUACGGGAGGCAGCAGUGGGGAAUAUUGCACAAUGGGCGCAAGCCUGAUGCAGCGACGCCGCGUGAGGGAUGGAGGCCUUCGGGUUGUGAACCUCUUUCGCCCGUGGUCAAGCCGCGACGUGGGUCGUGGUGAGGGUAGUGGGUAAAGAAGCGCCGGCUAACUACGUG